UCCAGUUGGCAGAAAGUGCCAACUCUACCACCCAGCAUGACUGCUGCAAAACGGCCUGGCCAUCCUACUCGUGUCCCCAUCCUGGCCCUCUCAGGACCUGGUUCCUGCGGCCACAUGCCCAGGCUGGCUGGCCAGACCUGGGCCUGCAGAGCAGAGCCUGCAGUGAGUUCCCUGCUGACACCUAAACACUACCUCUGCAACCCAGCCACAGGCUGACUGACCCUGUGGCCUCUGAAAGCCAGUUCCAGUGAGGAUGCUCAGAACCGUGGAACCCUUACCUGCGCUAAGGAUCUGUGAUUAUCAUCUCAUUUGAUCCUCACAACAGCCAAAUAAAAUAGGUGUGGU